UCAGGUCUCCAAGGUGAACAACCUCUGGCCAAUGGAACAAUGUAGGCAAGGGAAGUCGGCAAAACGGAUCCAUAACUUCGGGAAAAGGAAUGGCUCUGAGGACUGGGCUCGGGGGUCCCAGCCCCGAACCCAUCGGCUGUCGGCAGAUUGCUCGAGCUGCUCACGCGGCGAGAGCGGGUCGCCGCGUGCCGGCCGGGGGACGGACCGGGAAUCCCCCCUUUGGGGGCUUUCCCCGAGCAU
rnacentral:rRNA from 1 species